GAGGGUAUAGCUUAAGUGGUAGAGCACAUGCUUAGCGUGCAUGAGGUCCUGGGUUCAAUCCCCAACACCUGCU
rnacentral:tRNA from 1 species